GAAGCGGCGUCGGACGGCGUCGGUUUUGGAGGAAUUCACAGAUCUGGAUUUUUGCAGGUUUCUAAAGCAAUUUUUUUCCAACUUCAUCUAGCCCCUCUCUUCUACGCUUUAAAGCGCAAGAAUCUAAAAGAAAAGAUGAUGAUUGGUUGAUGGACAGAGCCUGAGUGUGGCAAGAAGCUAGUGGAGAAGACGAACAAUCUACCUGCUCGUCUUCUCCGUUGGUCGUCAUUGGAAGCAGAUGUUGAGCGCCAUGCCGGAAGAAGAGAGAGGCGACAAGCAGCGCCGGAGGAGAACCGUUUGAGCAUCGGUGUUCGGAGAAGAGAGGGUCAAAGAGGAAGUCAGACACAACAAUAAAAGACUAUUUUGCCCCUUUCAAUUCAGAUAAAAUGAUGUUUAAUUUUUUCCAGUCACAUUUGGCCGGCGUGACUAAAAUUGAGAAAAAAUGCAUAGUCAAGGUACGAAAUCAACAUUUUUGAAAGUCGCGGAUAGCAAUUAAUACUACUACAAUAGUCAUUGGACCAAAAUGUCAAUUUUCUCUUUAGGUUGAUAUUAAAGUGUUACUUUUUUUUUCUCUUUUAGAUGAUGAUGAAAACUGUAGUCACUAUUUGAUAAUAUAUAUUGAGUAAAUUUUAUUUUUGUAUAA